GUGCUCGCUUCGGCAGCACAUAUACUAAAAUUGGAACGAUACAGAGAAGAUUAGCAUGGCCUCUGCGCAAGGAGGACUAACUUGGUAAAUGUUCUAUGUAUAU
ensembl:snRNA U6 U6 spliceosomal RNA